AGUUGGUCCAAUGGUAGUGAGUUAUUUCAAUUGAUUGUUCACAGUUGUAGAUCAAAUUCUUUGUUCUCCUCUUCCCCUUCUCACUACUGUACUUGACUAUUAAUUU
ensembl:Y_RNA Y_RNA Y RNA